ACUCAAAGGAAUAGACGGGUGCCCGCACAAGCGGUGGAGCAUGUGGCUUAAUUCGAGGCAACGCGAAGAACCUUACCUGGGCUUGACAUGCACCGGACAGCCGUGGAAACACGGUCUCCCGCAAGGGUCGGUGCACAGGUGCUGCAUGGCUGUCGUCAGCUCGUGCCGUGAGGUGUUCGGUUAAGUCCGGCAACGAGCGCAACCCAUGUCAUUAGUUGCCAGCAGGUAAUGCUGGGCACUCUAAUGAGACUGCCCGUGUUAAGCGGGAGGAAGGCGUGGAUGACGUCAAGUCCGUAUGGCCUUUAUGCCCAGGGCUGCACACGUGCUACAAUGGACGGUACAGAGGGAAGCAAUGUCGCGAGACGGAGCAAAUCCACAAAACCGUCCCUAGUUCAGAUUGCAGUCUGCAACUCGACUGCAUGAAGCCGGAAUCGCUAGUAAAGGCGUAUCAGCCACGACGCCUUGAAUACGUUCCCGGGCGUUGCACACACCGCCCGU
rnacentral:rRNA from 1 species